AAGCUCGUAGUUGAAUUUCGGGAUCAAUAUUUCGGUCAUGCCGUUGGUAUGCACUGUUAUCAUUGAUUUCUCACCUUCUAAAGAACCGUAAUGCCAUUAAUUUGGUGUUACGGGGAAUUAGGACUGUUACCUUGAAAAAAUUAGAGUGUUUAAAGCAGGCUCACGCUUGAAUACAUUAGCAUGGAAUAAUGAAAUAGGACAUCCGAUUCUAUUUUGUUGGUUUCUAGGAUCGAUGUAAUGAUUAAUAGGGAUAGUUGGGGGCAUUAGUAUUCAAUUGUCAGAGGUGAAAUUCUUGGAUUUAUUGAAGACUAACUACUGCGAAAGCAUUUGCCAAGGAUGUUUUCAUUAAUCAAGAACGAAAGUUAGGGGAUCGAAGACGAUCAGAUACCGUCGUAGUCUUAACCAUAAACUAUGCCGACUAGGGAUCGGAUGAUGUUAAUUUUUUAAUGACUCAUUCGGCGCCUUACGGGAAACCAAAGUGUUUGGGUUCCGGGGGGAGUAUGGUCGCAAGGCUGAAACUUAAAGGAAUUGACGGAAGGGCACCACCAGGGGUGGAGCCUGCGGCUUAAUUUGACUCAACACGGGGAAACUCACCAGGUCCAGACAUAGUAAGGAUUGACAGAUUGAGAGCUCUUUCUUGAUUCUAUGGGUG
rnacentral:rRNA from 1 species